CCAGACAGUGAUGGGAGGGGGACGUUGAACGCUCUUGCUCCUGGUUUUGUUUGUUUAUGUGUGUUAAAAGUAUAAUCCCCAAGAUAUAUCGAUAACAGGAAAAUUGAGUGAGUAAUCAUUACAAUUAUUUCCUAUAAGAGUGAGGACAUUAUUCUGAUUAACCUAAAGUCUUCAUAUACGCGAACACAAGUUUGGUGAUGAUAUGCAAAUGCUUAGCUUUUUAUGAAAUUCAUUUCCAUAAGCUCUGUAGAAAAUAGAUCUGAUUUCAAAGUUCGUAAUAGCACUGCAUAACAAAUACACUGACCUAUCAUUUUGUUUCUCUUGCAAUACCAACAUCCGCACAAACAAGAACUCUCUUCUAUACUAGGCAAAUAAGUACGGAAUCACAUCAACAAAACCCAGAAGACACUCAGUGACAAGAGUGACAAGAGUUUUCCAAACCCUCCGCAGCGAAAGUGACAAGAGGACGAAAAAAAAAAAAAAAAAAAAACCGACAGAGUGAGUCGUCCUCCCAUGUGCCGCGAAAUCAGCUGUUGGUUCUCCCACGAUGGAGAACCGAUGAUGGCCUUGACUGUACAGAGAUAAAGGUCACGGGCUAUGGACGGCUUGGACGCGGUGUCUUGCUAUCUUUCGCGAGUCCUAUCGUUGCGUCAGAGGCUACGAGCAUAAAGCGAGGCGAGUAGACCGGCUCUCCAUCACUCUGGAAGGCUGUAACAAGCUGUCCACUCCGCUUCCCCACAGAGCCCUGUUGCUGUACAAGUCUGAGAGGGUUCCCCCCAGGUGUCCGUCGAGAGAAUGAGAGGGACCGGACUCCUGCUGGCGGCGCUGCUGGCGACGGUGGCGCUGGCGGCUGUCUCUGAAGCCAAGAUCAGAAGCCGGAACAAUAAGAUCAGGGCGGGUGAG
rnacentral:lncRNA from 1 species